rnacentral:rRNA from 1 species
GAUGAACGCUGGCGGCGUGCCUAAUACAUGCAAGUCGAGCGAACGGACGAGAAGCUUGCUUUUCUGAUGUUAGCGGCGGACGGGUGAGUAACACGUGGAUAACCUACCUAUAAGACUGGGAUAACUUCGGGAAACCGGAGCUAAUACCGGAUAAUAUUUUGAACCGCAUGGUUCAAAAGUGAAAGACGGUCUUGCUGUCACUUAUAGAUGAAUCCGCGCUGCAUUAGCUAGUUGGUAAGGUAACGGCUUACCAAGGCAACGAUGCAUAGCCGACCUGAGAGGGUGAUCGGCCACACUGGAACUUAGACACGGUCCAGACUCCUACGGGAGGCAGCAGUAGGGAAUCUGCCGCAAUGGGCGAAAGCCUGACGGAGCAACGCCGCGUGAGUGAUGAAGGUCUUCGGAUCGUAAAACUCUGUUAUUAGGGAAGAACAUAUGUGUAAGUAACUGUGCACAUCUUGACGGUACCUAAUCAGAAAGCCACGGCUAACUACGUG